AAGGAUCAUUACAGAGUUCAUGCCCUUCGGGGUAGAUCUCCCACCCUUGUGUAUCAUUAUAGAAUGUUGCUUUGGCGGGCCGCGUGCCUAGCACGCCUGGAUUCGCGUCCGGCGUGCCCGCCAGAGGACCCCUAAACUCUGAAUGUUAGUGUCGUCUGAGUACUAUUAAAUAGUUAAAACUUUCAACAACGGAUCUCUUGGUUCUG
rnacentral:misc_RNA from 1 species